rnacentral:rRNA from 1 species
AACGAACGCUGGCGGCAGGCCUAACACAUGCAAGUCGAGCGGACCCUUCGGGGUUAGCGGCGGACGGGUGAGUACCGCGUGGGAAUAUGCCCUUCUCUACGGAAUAGUCCUGGGAAAUUGGGGGUAAUACCGUAUACGCCCUUUGGGGGAAAGAUUUAUCGGGGAAGGAUUAGCCCGCGUUGGAUUAGGUAGUUGGUGGGGUAAUGGCCUACCAAGCCGACGAUCCAUAGCUGGUUUGAGAGGAUGAUCAGCCACACUGGGACUGAGACACGGCCCAGACUCCUACGGGAGGCAGCAGUGGGGAAUCUUAGACAAUGGGGGCAACCCUGAUCUAGCCAUGCCGCGUGAGUGAUGAAGGCCUUAGGGUUGUAAAGCUCUUUCAGCUGGGAAGAUAAUGACGGUACCAGCAGAAGAAGCCCCGGCUAACUCCGUG